AUCGUGUACCGAUAUAUUAUCUCAAACAUUAAAACAAAUAAAAUUAUCUGCACAAUUCGUUUAAACAAUUUCAUUAAUCCGUCAAUCCGUUUGUUUGCAAAAUACUUGGACCAACAAGUCACUGUUCAGUUAACGUUUUAAAUACAAAGGCAAUUCUUUGCCUUUAACUGCGAUAUUGACUUACAAAAUGAACUCGAAUAAAAGCGUCAGGCGGUGACUAUAGAUCAUCUCUAGCACCCUUCAUACUCUCUCGCACGAGUACACGUGUCGUAAUUCUCGUUCGUUUAAACCCUUCACCCUUAAUCUUCAUUUUCUCGUUGUGCUUUGAAUCGCAAAUGUCGCGCCCCUUCGUGGUGUAUCUCUCUUACUUCGAGGGGUCCAUAACAGAGGUCGCCUCUUUGGCUCGUCCGUUAUAAGGACAAAGAAGAAAGAAAACGCGCUUGGAAAACGUUGAAAAAAAGCUUUGCGAGGAAAACUCAAGGCGAAAAGGACUAUAAGAGGAGAUCUAAGAUUCCCUUAAGAGACUUCAAUUGACUUAAGCAAGUCACCAGCCACGUUUCAUUCGCACAACAACGAGGACAAUUAAGACUAUAUUAAUCAUCUAUUUCUCUCUUUCUUUAUCUCCCUUCUCUUUGACUGAGUCGACAAAUUACGGUCAGUGGCCGUUUUACGGACGCAAAUUCAAUUACCGUUUCGCACAGAGACCGGCCAACAUAAAUAAUUACCAACGAAGCCAGACUCGUGGUCGUUCGGAGGAAGUAAAAUAGAU